UCCUCCAGGGCAUCUUACAGAAUGUUUCAAGUGACUGGAGAGGAAACAAAAGACAUCACUCACUUUUUAGCACCAAUUAAAGUGGGGCAAUCAAUUCUGAAUAAAGUUUCUAGGCCUGACAAAAAUGUACCUAUACCAUUUCUACAUGACGUGCAUCAAAAUAAUUGUUCCAUGGAAAAUUGCACAUAAGCAACUCAAGAUGAAACACUAUGCCUCACAGUUACUAAACAGUGAGAAUAAAAUGUGUUGUCACCAGUGUGUCACUUCAUUCAAGGGUCUCACGAAUUCCGCU
rnacentral:sRNA from 1 species